rnacentral:rRNA from 1 species
CGCGCAGGUGGUUGAUUAAGUCUGAUGUGAAAGCCCACGGCUUAACCGUGGAGGGUCAUUGGAAACUGGUCGACUUGAGUGCAGAAGAGGGAAGUGGAAUUCCAUGUGUAGCGGUGAAAUGCGUAGAUAUUGGGAGGAACACCAGUGGCGAAGGCGCCUUUCUGGACUGUGUCUGACGCUGAGAUGCGAAAGCCAGGGUAGCGAACG